rnacentral:rRNA from 1 species
GAGUUUGAUCAUGGCUCAGGAUGAACGCUAGCGGCAGGCCUAAUACAUGCAAGCCAAGGGCUGUUAGAGUAGCAAUACUCUAACAACCGGCGGACGGGUGCGUAAUGCAUACGCAACCUACCCUAUACAGGAGGAUAGCUUCCGGAAACGGAAAUUAAUACUCCAUAAGAUUCUGAUAAGGCCUCUUAUCAAAAUUAAAGCCUUAGGGCGGUAUAGGAUGGGCGUAUGUCCGAUUAGCUAGUUGGCGAGGUAAAAGCUCACCAAGGCCAUGAUCGGUAGGGGUUCUGAGAGGAAGAUCCCCCACACGGGCACUGAGACACGGGCCCGACUCCUACGGGAGGCAGCAGUAAGGAAUAUUGGACAAUGGGUGAAAGCCUGAUCCAGCCAUGCCGCGUGGAAGAAGAAGGCCCUAUGGGUUGUAAACUCCUUUUGCAGGGGAGAAAUAAUUCUGACGUGUCAGGAGAUGCUAGUACCCUGCGAAUAAGCAUCGGCUAACUUCGUGCCAGCAGCCGCGGUA